GGGUGGUCCGAAGGUAGUGCCUUAUCUCAAUUGAUUGUUCACAGUCAGUUACAGAUCAAACUCCUUGCUCUGCUCCUUCCCUCUUCUCACUACUGCACUUGACCAGUCUAAA
rfam:Gorilla gorilla gorilla genomic chromosome, chr9, whole genome shotgun sequence